rnacentral:rRNA from 1 species
GGGGAAUAUUGCACAAUGGGCGCAAGCCUGAUGCAGCCAUGCCGCGUGUGUGAAGAAGGCCUUCGGGUUGUAAAGCACUUUCAGCGAGGAGGAAGGGUAGUGUGUUAAUAGCACAUUGCAUUGACGUUACUCGCAGAAGAAGCACCGGCUAACUCCGUGCCAGCAGCCGCGGUAAUACGGAGGGUGCAAGCGUUAAUCGGAAUUACUGGGCGUAAAGCGCACGCAGGCGGUUUGUUAAGUCAGAUGUGAAAUCCCCGCGCUUAACGUGGGAACUGCAUUUGAAACUGGCAAGCUAGAGUCUUGUAGAGGGGGGUAGAAUUCCAGGUGUAGCGGUGAAAUGCGUAGAGAUCUGGAGGAAUACCGGUGGCGAAGGCGGCCCCCCUGGACAAAGACUGACGCUCAGGUGCGAAAGC